GUGCUUGCUUCAGCAGCACACGUAUACUAAAAUUGGAAUGACACAGAGAAGAUUAGUGUGGCCUUUGUGCAUGGAUGAUACGGAAAUUUGUGAAGCAUUCCAUUUUUCA
rnacentral:snRNA from 1 species